rnacentral:rRNA from 1 species
GGAUGAACGUUGGCGGCGUGCCUAAUACAUGCAAGUCGAACGAAGACUGUAGUAAUACUGUCUUAGUGGCGAACGGGUGAGUAACGCGUGGGUGACCUGCCCCGAAGUGUGGGAUAACAGUCCGAAAGGAUUGCUAAUACUGCAUAAUAUCCAAGAGAUUAGAUGCUUUUGGAUUAAAGGAGUAAUUCGCUUCGGGAGGGGCCCGCGUCCCAUCAGCUAGUUGGUAAGGUAAUGGCUUACCAAGGCGAUGACGGGUAGGGGACCUGAGAGGGUGGCCCCCCACAAUGGAACUGAAACACGGUCCAUACACCUACGGGUGGCAGCAGUAGGGAAUAUUAGUAAUGGGCGAAAGCCUGAACUAGCAACGCCGCGUGUGCGAAGAAGGCCUUCGGGUCGUAAAGCACUUUUUGAGAGGAUGAGGAAGGACGGUACUCUCAGAAUAAGUCUCGGCUAACUACGUGCCAGCAGCCGCGGUAACACGUAGGAGGCAAACGUUAUCCGGAUUUACUGGGCGUAAAGCGCGUGUAGGUGGUUUGGUAAGUAGGGCGUGAAAGCUCCUGGCUCAACUGGGAGAGGACGUUCUAAACUGCCAAGCUUGAGGAUGGUAGAGGGAGGUGGAAUUCCGGGUGUAGCGGUGGAAUGCGCAGAUAUCCGGAGGAACACCAGUGGCGAAGGCGGCCUCCUGGACCACUCCUGACACUCAGACGCGAAAGCUAGGGUAGCAAACGGGAUUAGAGACCCCGGUAGUCCUAGCCCUAAACGAUGUAGACUUGGCGUCGGUGGUUUAAUCGCCAUCGGUGUCGUAGCUAACGCGAUAAGUCUACCGCCUGGGGACUACGGCCGCAAGGUUAAAACUCAAAGGAAUUGACGGGUCCCCGCACAAGCAGCGGAGCGUGUGGUUUAAUUCGAUGCUACACGAAGAACCUUACCUGGGUUUGACAUCAUACCGACGUCUGUAGAAACACAGAUUUCCGCUUAGGCGGACGGUAUGACAGGUGUUGCAUGGUUGUCGUCAGCUCGUGUCGUGAGAUGUUGGGUUAAGUCCCGCAACGAGCGCAACCCCUAUCCAAUGUUGCCAACAGGUAAAGCUGGGGACUCAUUGGAGACUGCCGGAGACGAUCUGGAGGAAGGUGGGGAUGAGGUCAAAUCAUCAUGGCCCUUAAGCCCUGGGCUACACACGCGCUACAAUGGCCGGUACAACGGGCAGCGAAGGAGCGAUCCGGAGCGAAUCCCAAAAAGCCGGCCCCAGUUGGAAUCGCAGGCUGCAACUCGCCUGCGUGAACAUGGAAUUGCUAGUAAUCGCGAAUCAGCUACGUCGCGGUGAAUACGUUCCCGGGCCU